ACGAUAGAGAAGGUUAUGGAACUUCUGUCGUCUGUCUAGCCUUGGCCACGCACGCUGGAUCAUCUGGCAGACGUUUUCAGCGAUCGUUUGUUAUCUCCGACAAAUUUACAACAGCAGCAGGAGUAAGCGAAACACCACACAGCUCAUGUUUACAUUCAUGGAACACAAGACGGCGAUUUUAAUGAAGUAUGCCUAAACUUGCACGAUUUUAUAUUAAUUUUGGGAAUUCAGUGGCGAUAUACUCUGCAGGACAAAAUGUCCAGGGAUAUCUUAAUGUUGAAGUUGACAAACCGUUAAAUCUGCAGUGCAUCAGGGUAUAUGUUAAAGGCGAGGCCUUUGUCCACUGGACUGAUCAGCGUAUGCGUGGUCCGGCUCCAUUGCAGACCCCUACACGUCAUCACUCGGCUCACGAGGAAUAUUUUGAUUUCACAUCUACACUUUUGGGGAAUAAUGACAAUAAUGCUCCGAAGAUCACUCUAUUGCGAGGAAACUACUGCUACCCCUUUCAGUUCCAACUUCCUCAAAACCUCCCCUCUUCCUUUGAGGGGAAAUACGGUCACAUACGAUACACCAUUAAAGGGACCAUUGAAAAACCUAAGAGAUUCUCUCACGUGACUAAAACAGCGUUUUCUGUGAUUGGCCCGUUGGACUUGAACACUUUCCCUCAAAUAGAUUCCCCAAUUGGCAUGACUGUAACCAAAAAUAUCUGCUGUUUGUGUUGUACAUCGGGCCCUCUUAGUGCUUAUCUGUCGCUCCCAAGAAGGGGCUUCGUUCCAGGAGACAUAAUUCCUUUAACGGUGGAAAUUGAAAAUCUUUCGCGUCGGAAAAUAGCAAGUUCGUCCAUAACACUCAAAAUGACAACAAAUUUUCACAGCCAUGAUGAAUCUCGAACAGUGAGCACAGAGAUAGACAAGAUCGUUCAUGGAUCUGUACCCCGGGGUGCUACCAGCACGAGGGCAGACCAAGGGAUCCCCCUCCCUGCACUUCCUCCCAGCUUUCUAUUCGGAUGUAACAUUAUUGAUAUCCAAUACAAACUAGAGCUGCGAGUAGAUGCAGUCGGACCAUCUUUUGAGAUGUAUUUGCCAUUAGAAAUUAUAGUUGGAACUGUACCAUUACGUUCUACUAUGCGACCCAUCCCAAAUUCACCUCGAUAUGACUCGAGGUCACAAAGUCAUCGAUCUACGUCAUCCCAAACUUCUUCAGAGCAAUAUUCAGUGUCAUUAACCUACAUGGAGUCCAGAUUGGGAGGCAUCUGUAUCAAAGAGAAAGAUGACCCAGAGGACAUGAAGGGGGACCAUCACUUCACUCCCAUCUAUCCUUACUACAUCUGGACUGAGUGAUUACAUCUGGACUGAAUGAUUACAUCUGGACUGAGUGAUUACAUCUGGACUGAAUGAUUACAUCUGGACUGAGUGAUUACAUCUGGACUGAGUGAUAUACUGAACAGGUCACAGCCACAGGAUAUUAUGAUUUCUUCUGAACAGUGCUAUACUGAUUGUGUAUGGGAAUUUGCUGUCAUUGCAGGACCUACUAUACAAUCAUGCAUCUAUCAUCUAAGUGAACGAGACAAGGAAUAAAAUAUAGGCAAUUGUA